rnacentral:rRNA from 1 species
GACGAACGCUGGCGGCGUGCUUAACACAUGCAAGUCGAACGGGAUCCAUGGAGUAGCAAUACUCUGGAAGAUCUAGUGGCGAACGGGUGAGUAACACGUGAGCAACCUGCCCCAAAGACUGGGAUAACCCCGGGAAACCGGAGCUAAUACCGGAUGUCCUCAUUAGAUCGCAUGGUCAUAUGAGGAAAUGAAUUUUCGCUUUGGGAGGGGCUCGCGGGCUACCAGUUUGUUGGNGGGGUAAUGGCCUACCAAGACAUCGACGGCUAGCUGGUCUGAGAGGACGAUCAGCCACACUGGGACUGAGACACGGCCCAGACUCCUACGGGAGGCAGCAGUGGGGAAUCUUGCCCAAUGGGCGAAAGCCUGAGGCAGCAACGCCGCGUGCGGGAUGACGGCC